rnacentral:rRNA from 1 species
UACGUAGGUGGCGAGCGUUAUCCGGAAUUACUGGGCGUAAAGCGCACGCAGGUGGUCGAUCAAGUCUGGCGUGAAAGCUCCUGGCUUAACUGGGAGAGGUCGUUGGAAACUGAUCGACUUGAGGCAAUGAGAGGGGUGCGGAAUUCCCGGUGUAGUGGUGGAAUGCGUAGAUAUCGGGGGGAACACCAGUGGCGAAAGCGGCACCCUGGCAUUGUCCUGACACUCAUGUGCGAAGGCGUGGGGAGCGAACGGG